GAUGAAGAACGCAGCGAAAUGCGAUACGUAAUGUGAAUUGCAGAAUUCAGUGAAUCAUCGAAUCUUUGAACGCAUAUUGCGCUCUUUGGUAUUCCGAAGAGCAUGCUUGUUUGAGUAUCAGUAAACACCUCAAAGCUUUUGGAUUUUUUUUUUGAAAGCUUUGGACUUGAGCAAUCCCAACACCAAUCUUUUUCAGAUCGGCGGCGGGUUGCUUGAAAUGCAGGUGCAGCUGGACUUUCUCCUGAGCUAAAAGCAUAUUAAUUUAGUCCCGUCAACAGGAUUAUUACUUUUGCUGCAGCUAACAUAAAGGGAGUUUGACCGCAUUGGCUGACUGAUGCAGGAUUUCACAAGGGUCGGCAACGAUUCUUGUUAAACUCGAUCUCAAAUCAAGUAAGACUACCCGCUGAACUUAAGCAUAUCAAUAAGCGGAGG
rnacentral:misc_RNA from 1 species